rnacentral:lncRNA from 1 species
UUUGAAUCAGCUGUGCAGUGUGAAGGCAAAAACAACAAUGUUCCCCUCUUUGAGUCCCCAGGACUGAGAACCACUGCUCUUCAUUGGGACCUCUUCAUAUGUAGACUGGCUUUCAUAGAGCUCUUUAUCUGAGGACAGAAAACCUCACAAGAAACAGACUUCAUUAUAGUCAAAUUACACCACACUGAAUAUUAUGUUACUAUUAUCUCCGUCCUCACUUCUAGGGACAGGAACUACACAAAAGUACCUGCCCUAUCCAGAAUAGCCUCCUCUCUCACUGACAGUUGGGGCUGCUAUCCUUUCACCCUCCUCCAUGGCUGUUCUACAUUUGGAGUUUGUUUUUUUACAGUGAUAAAUAGAUAGCUGGUCUGAUGUGAAGGAGGAGGUUGAUCAUCAGGAGUCAGAUGUGAAGGAGGAGGUUGAUCAUCAGGAGUCAGAUGUGAAGGAGGAGGUUGAUCAUCAGGAGUCAGAUGUGAAGGAGGAGGUUGAUCAUCAGGAGUCAGAUGUGAAGGAGGAGGUUGAUCAUCAGUGAACCUCUAGGAUUGUGGCUGGGCUGGCGUUUACACUUCCAGCUUGGUCAUAUAUUUUGAUACAUUGAAUGUUGAUAUUGUGAACCUAUGUUAUAUAUUUGCACCUCCUGUUUCAGGAAGUGAUGUCACUAAGUACUGCCCCAAUAUAUACAGUGCUGUUUGAAAGUAUUCAGACCGCUUCACUUUUUACACAUUUUGUUACAUUAUUCAAACAUUUAUGAGGAAAACAUUGAUUUAAACCAUCUACACACAAUACCCCAUAAUGACUUCACAAUACCCCAUAAUGACAUCACAAUAGCCCAUAAUAACAUCACAAUACCCCAUAAUGACAUCACAAUACCCCAUAAUGAC